UGAAUCAGGCGCCAUUUAUCCGAGAAAAGGCCAUUCUACUAGUUAAACUGAUGGUACAUAUAGAGAAAAGAUUCAUUGAUGAUCAGGAACUAAAUGCACAGUUUCUAGAACUUGUCAUCAACAUCUACAGGUUUUCAACAGCAGUAUUCCACGUAGAGUGUUUGAAAGGCUGAUCUACAUAACAUGUUCACAGAACUGGGAACUGAUGGGUGGACACUUCUAGAUCAGACAGUGAAUUGAGAUAAGGAAUUCUACAGUUUGAGUAAAGAUGAGAUAGAUGUAGAACUUUGUGUUGCUGCUGAUGAGGCAACACAGAAAGAAUCUCCAAAGAAAGAGAUACAUGACCUGAAACAGAACUUACAGACAUUAUUGUAAAGACAAGCAAAGUUCCUGGAGAAUUGUAGGGAA
rnacentral:lncRNA from 1 species